UACAGAGGGUGCAAGCGUUGUUCGAAAUUAUUGGGCGUAAAGCGCGUGUAGGCGGCUUUGCAAGUCGGGUGUGAAAGCCCUCAGCUCAACUGAGGAAGUGCGCCCGAAACUGCAGAGCUUGAGUGCCGGAGAGGGUGGCGGAAUUCCCCAAGUAGAGGUGAAAUUCGUAGAUAUGGGGAGGAACACCGGUGGCGAAGGCGGCUUCC
rnacentral:rRNA from 1 species